AAGGACCAAAUAUAAUACUUGGACUAAGGGUAACGUUGGUAAUUAUUCUUACAUCUCCGCCUCCUGGAGCCCAGGUAUCAUAUAUGCCCCCAAAAUAAAGAGCCUUAAAUACUAGAAGAAAAGCGCCUAUAUUAGCUAUUAAUACAAAUAAAUUACUAUUUCA
rnacentral:antisense_RNA from 1 species